rnacentral:rRNA from 1 species
GAGUUUGAUCCUGGCUCAGGACGAACGCUGGCGGCGUGCUUAACACAUGCAAGUCGAGCGGUAAGGCCUUUCGGGGUACACGAGCGGCGAACGGGUGAGUAACACGUGGGUGAUCUGCCCUGCACUUCGGGAUAAGCCUGGGAAACUGGGUCUAAUACCGGAUAUGACCUCCUAUCGCAUGGUGGGUGGUGGAAAGAUUUAUCGGUGCAGGAUGGGCCCGCGGCCUAUCAGCUUGUUGGUGGGGUAAUGGCCUACCAAGGCGACGACGGGUAGCCGACCUGAGAGGGUGACCGGCCACACUGGGACUGAGACACGGCCCAGACUCCUACGGGAGGCAGCAGUGGGGAAUAUUGCACAAUGGGCGAAAGCCUGAUGCAGCGACGCCGCGUGAGGGAUGACGGCCUUCGGGUUGUAAACCUCUUUCAGCAGGGACGAAGCGCAAGUGACGGUACCUGCAGAAGAAGCACCGGCUAACUACGUGCCAGCAGCCGCGGUAAUACGUAGGGUGCAAGCGUUGUCCGGAAUUACUGGGCGUAAAGAGUUCGUAGGCGGUUUGUCGCGUCGUUUGUGAAAACCAGCAGCUCAACUGCUGGCUUGCAGGCGAUACGGGCAGACUUGAGUACUGCAGGGGAGACUGGAAUUCCUGGUGUAGCGGUGAAAUGCGCAGAUAUCAGGAGGAACACCGGUGGCGAAGGCGGGUCUCUGGGCAGUAACUGACGCUGAGGAACGAAAGCGUGGGUAGCGAACAGGAUUAGAUACCCUGGUAGUCCACGCCGUAACGGUGGGCGCUAGGUGU